UGACUUUUAAUGAUGAAUAAAUUUUUGUAACAUCUCAUUGUUUGGUAUAACAAUUUGUUGUCCUAGAUUUAUGAUGAAUCCAUGGGCAAACGUAAACCGUUACAACAAGGGUCAAAUCUGUCACGGGGCAAUACUAUAGACUAUAGUGUCUAUAUAAAUAAAUAAUAAUAAUACACGUUACACAAAAAACCUCAUCGCUCCCGAGGCAAAGCAUAAUACAAACAAAAAAUGAACAGACCGACAAACAUACUCCUCCCAAUUGCUUUUCUUCUACUUCUCCUCCUCUCUUCCCCUCCGCCGUCGCUCGCCGCCGACGACGCCGACGUCUACCAAUCAUUCCUCCGCUGCCUACAAAGCAGCACACCCCCACAAGACCGAAUCUCCGACUUGGUAUACUCCUCAUCUAACAGAUCCUUCACUUCAGUCCUCCAAGCCUACAUCCGAAACUCACGCCUCAACACAACCGCCACCCCCAAGCCUUCGAUAAUCAUCACCCCGACCAAAAUCCCCCACGUCCAGGCUGCUGUCGUCUGCACCAAAGCCGCUGGCUACCAGCUCAAAAUCCGCAGUGGUGGCCAUGACUACGAGGGCGUCUCCUACGUCUCCGAUUCCCCCUUCUUCAUCCUCGACAUGUUCAACCUCCGCCAAAUCCAAAUCGACGCCCCCCCGCCGNNNNNNNNNNNNNNNNNNNNNNNNNNNNNNNNNNNNNNNNNNNNNNNNNNNNNNNNNNNNNNNNNNNNNNNNNNNNNNNNNNNNNNNNNNNNNNNNNNNNNNNNNNNNNNNNNNNNNNNNNNNNNNNNNNNNNNNNNNNNNNNNNNNNNNNNNNNNNNNNNNNNNNNNNNNNNNNNNNNNNNNNNNNNNNNNNNNNNNNNNNNNNNNNNNNNNNNNNNNNNNNNNNNNNNNNNNNNNNNNNNNNNNNNNNNNNNNNNNNNNNNNNNNNNNNNNNNNNNNNNNNNNNNNNNNNNNNNNNNNNNNNNNNNNNNNNNNNNNNNNNNNNNNNNNNNNNNNNNNNNNNNNNNNNNNNNNNNNNNNNNNNNNNNNNNNNNNNNNNNNNNNNNNNNNNNNNNGCGCGCGCGCGCGACCCCCGCGGCGUCCCCGCCGGGGUAUGCCCCACCGUCGGCGUCGGCGGACACCUCAGCGGCGGCGGUUAUGGCAACCUUUUGAGAAAGCACGGUCUUUCCGUCGACCACAUCGUCGACGCCCAGAUUGUCGACGCCGACGGGAAAUUCCACGACGGGAGAGCUUCCAUGGGGGAAGAUCUAUUCUGGGCGAUUCGAGGAGGCGGUGGUGCAAGUUUCGGAGUCGUAAUCGCUUACAAGAUUAAACUCGUUCUGGUUCCGGCGACGGUUACUGUUUUCCGAGUGGAAAAGUAUCAAGAACAGAACGCAACGGAUAUGGUUUACAAAUGGCAGUUCGUGGCUCCGAAAACGACGGACGAUCUCUUCAUGAGGAUGCUGUUACAGCCAGUGAGCUCCAAGACGAAGAAAGGAACACUCACGGUGAGAGCUUCGAUUCUGGCGGAGUAUCUGGGCACCGCCGACACACUGGUGGCGUUGAUGAGUAACGAAUUUCCCGAAUUGGGUCUGAAGAAAUCAGAUUGUUUGGAAAUGAGCUGGAUUCAAUCGGUUCUAUGGUGGGGAUUGAACAACAACCAGACGAAUCCAGAAGUGCUGACGAGCAGAGUGCCGGAAUCGGUCAAUUUCGGGAAGAGGAAAUCGGAUUACGUCCGGAAUCCGAUUUCGAAACCGAAUCUGGAGUGGAUUUGGAAGAAGAUGGUUGAGUCAGGGAAGACAGGGUUCGUGUUCAACCCAUACGGCGGGAGGAUGGACGAAAUUGGGGAAACGGAGACGCCGUUUCCUCACCGGAAGGGGAAUCUGUGGAAGAUUCAGUACUCAAUAAGUUGGAAAGAUGCAGGGGAGAAGGCAGAGAAGGAUUACUUGAGUCAGAUCAGGAGGAUUUACAGUUACAUGACGCCGUUCGUGAGCAAGAAUCCGAGGGGUGCGUAUUUGAAUUACAGGGAUUUGGAUAUUGGGACCGGGCAGCCUGGGAAAGAUAGCUACAAUGAUGGGAAAGUUUAUGGUGAUAAGUACUUCACUGUUAACUUUGAUAGGUUGGUGAAAGUGAAGACUGCUGUGGAUCCUGGUAAUUUCUUUUGGAAUGAACAGAGCAUCCCCGUUCUUCCAAGUAAGGCUUACAGUUACAGAGAGUGAUUUCACUUAACUUAGUUCAUAAUGUUCUUAUAGCAAAUAAGCAGUGAGAUUAUUAUUACAUAUUUGUUGUUACAGUAUGGUUUUCGUUCUAUAAAAAACCAGUCAUUUAUGUAUCUACGCGAUUUAAGGUUGAAUUUUGAUUAUUGAAGUCAAUGUCUGCGAGAGUGUGGCUGUGAGUUUGAGAUGUGGAAGUAUGGCGGACCAAGUUUUCCUCACCGUACAAUUCUGCCGGGUCCCAUUUUGCUUCGUUCUCAUCUAAUUUCAACGCGCCCAAUCAGUGCGUGCUUAUUGAGUGAUUGGCUCGGUGGCUCCGCCGAAAGUCAUUGCCUUAAUGCUUUGGGACAUUGGUUUCAUAGGAUUUGGUGUGCGCACGUGUUUUGUUUGCUGAAAGUCCACAACCAGAAACUGUGUUUUGCGAUACUGCAGGAGGCAGCUCGCGAGGAGGAUGCCGGGGUACGAGUCGGGAUGGGUUCCUUAUCGUUGCGGAUCUGGCAGCGUCGAUCGUUGUAGGGAUUAUCGUCGACCUAUGAUUGUGAUUGGAACUUCCGCGAAUCGUGAGACGUUAUCGGAAUCCUGCAAUGUGGAGGAUGUGAGCAGUUUGGUUAGGGGUAUUUGGAGUUGUUUAAGUUGGACAUGUGGAUAAUCGACCAUAAGUUUGUCACAGUCCAACAAUGCUUGAGAAGUAGCGUUACAUUAUGAUGAUGUCGCUUUGGUUGGGACGACGAUGAACUGAUCAUGAACAAAAAUGAUAUAAUUUGGCAGUGCAUCAAAUAAGAAUGCGGAUUGAAAUUCAGAAAAAGAGGUCCUUGAUGGCAUUAAGUAGUUUCAGGUCAUCAGAUCUAAGCACUUAGAUUUAACGGCUCAGAUUGGAGGGGUAUAUAUGUAAUUCACCCAGCCACUUACCGCUUCCCAGUCGCCGAACCUCCAUCGCUGGUCCUGUACUCGCGUACAGAAAUUGUGAAUAUGUGUGUAUGCAUGUUUAAACGACUAUACACGAGUAUAAAGCCAUCUAGACGUGUAUAUACAGUGUACGAAAUGUCGACGGGAAACAAUGUGUACGUAUGUCACCGGAAAAAAAUGGUAAUUCACUGGAAAAAAGUGUGUGCAAAACAUCACAGAAAAAGGUGUAUUUUAGAGGGAAGAAGUAAUGUACAAAGCCUCGCCGGAAAAGUAGUCGAAAAAGUGUCACCAACUGUGAGUUCGCUUUGCCGGAGCUCAUGUGUCGGCGGCCGGAGGUGGCUGUGGUCUUUCAAAACAACAAGAAAAUUGAAAGUUCUCUGUUAAAACGGAGAGUUAUUAUAAAUAUGUUUAUUUAUUAUUGGUUAAAAUUGAACUCGUUGGCUAAUCAUCUUAGCUGACCGAAUUUGGUUAUAGGUUAAUUAGCCGAUCCUUAACUGACCAUUGCGGUUAAAUAAUCAAUAUUUAACCGACCGACUAAUUUAACGAAUGAAAUUUAGGGCAAAGUCACUUAGGAUUUGGGGGUAAAUUCACUUCUUCAGUUAAUCACGGUUAAUCAAUUUUCAACCAAUUAUCCGAUUUUACCAAUGUAUCGAUCAUUUUACCGCCGAUUUAAUUUUGGUUAAAUUUUUUAACCGAUGCGGUUAGUUAAUAAAUUUUAACCGAUUAACCGAAAUCGAGAAGCCAGCUUUAAGUAUAUUAGAUAAUAUUAUAUUAUGUUAAGUUAUUUUAGUCUAUUCCCGUUGAGUUUACUUAUCUAUACUCCUCUUAUCCUCACUUUGUAUUACUCUUUAACAUUCUUGAAGGAACCGUCACUGUUUUCGACAAGGAAAAGGAUCCAUCGGAGAGCUUGUCCGAUUUCGUGUACCGGUGGCAGUUUGUAGCUCCGAACGCUAGCAAUGAUUUGUUCAUGAGGCUACACUUGUCUCAAACGACGGCUUCGAUUCAAGCAUUGUACUUGGGAAAAGCCGACGAGGUUGUAUCCUUGUUGAAUAAGGAUUUCCCUGAACUGAGAUUAACUACGGAGGAUUGUAAGGAAAUGAGCUGGAUUCAAUCAGUGUUGUGGUACGGAACUCCGGACUACGGGAAAUCUCCGGAUGCACUUCUGAAUCGGUACACGGUCAGCCCAUCCAAUCCAGGCAAAUCCGCCAAGAGGAAGUCCGAUUUCGUGGUGAAUCCGGUCAGCAGAGAAGGGGUGGACCGGAUUAUAAACCGGUUGGUCCAAUUGCCGAAAAUUAAGAUGACAUUGAGUCCGUACGGAGGAAAAGUGAGCGAGAUUCCGGAAUGGAAAGGUCUGUUUCCGCACAGGAAAGGGAACCUGUACAUGGGUGCCUACGUCGGGAAUUGGGACGCCAGGGGAGGAGGCUGCAGAAGGCGUGGUGAGCGAGUUAAGGAGUAUGUACGAUUAUAUGGCCGAGUUCGUGUUGAGGAAUCCGAGGAGGGCGUACUUGAACUACCGGGAUCUCGACAUUGGGAAGAUGGAGCCUGGGGAUGGUUAUGAGGAAGGUAGAGUUUACGGGAUGAAGUAUUUCAGUGGGAAUUUUGAUAGGUUGGUGAGGGUAAAAACUGAGGUUGAUCCUGGCAAUUUUUUUCAGUACUGUGCAGAGUGUUCCAACACUUCGUAGAAAGGUUUGAUUAUUGUAACUAGAGGUGAUCUUCAGGGAUUUCUUAAGAUCUCUGACGAGCCUCUGAUGAUCACAAUCUUUAUCGGAAUCCGUCACAAGUCACGUUUGUUACGGUGACUAGUGAGACAUUGUGUCCGAUCGAGACGCAAUCGUCGCCUGUUCCGUUGACAGAGUUCUGGAUGCUGACUAUGCUUGAUUUCCCGAUGUGGAUUCGGUCUGCGUUUGGGCUGUCCCUUGGUGCUUGUAUCUUAAGGUUUGAGAGUGUGUAGUUCUUUGACCCGAACACGCUUAUGUGGAAUUGUUUUGCAUCUUUGCUUGUAAUUCCUUCUACUAAUCCGUUGUUGUCGAAGUCGAACCGAAUCGACUUUACAGAAAAAACCGAAACAUAAGAUAUAUGAUCCAUAAUUCGAUAAACAACAUACAUACUUGGUAUGUAAUGAUAUGAUAUUCUGAGUUUGGCUUACGAUGAUGGGGUCUUGGCUUUCCUCCAAGAAAGAGGGCCUUGAGCAUCGAGAAUGCCAUUUCCGAAGAGGUGCAAGUUGUCGAUAUAUCGGAAGGCGAGCCAAGUGUCUCUGGGAAGCUCACCAGGAGCCUGUAGAUUGCCUUGGAUCUCGGCCUCGAUCGGAGCUUUGCAUGGACCUUUAUGUACUGCGGCAAUAUCAACAAGAGACUUGUCGAAUCUUAAUUAAUUUGAGUAAAAAAUGAUGAAAUUGUUUUGUUGAGUUUAGGAGAACGAAAUAAGUUAGAAUGUAUUGGUCAUUUUACAAAAUUAGAAUUUUUCUUUUAAUAUCCAAAACUCUACUAAAUCACUUUUGGGCAUAUCACAAAUCAAACAACCCGGUAAACAUUGAGCUCUUAAUCCGUGCACGUUUAUUGAAGUCGUACAAACCUCAAUUUUUAUAUAUGAGAGCUUUCAUUUGAGGGGGUGUUAGUAAAUACUAAUUAUUAGGAUGUAACUGUUCAUAACAAAAACUCGAUGGAAAAGCAAACAUAGAUUCCAUUCUCCUCUUUGAUUAUAAGUACGUGAAGGAAAACAUUAAACUUGAAACAGUAGAAAUGUGGAGAUCAAACUUCCAAACCAUCCGAUACUUCCUCAAAAGUUGGACUGCAACAAGUUGACAAAGUCAACAUCCAUGGAGAAAGACUUAGCAAGAAUAUCAGCCGGGAUCGCCGGAGUCGAACCAAACACCGAAUUCGCAACCGACACAACCCCCGGAUUCUGGCUAGAGAACGCCGCAAUAGCAACAGCCGGCACGUUCAACACGUUGCGUUGGUAGUGCACCAAAUUCGCAGGGAACACGAACACGUCACCUUGGACCAACGUCUUCCUGUAGUGAGCAUUGCCCGGGUUGGACGUGACGAAUCCGACCUCGAGGCUUCCUUUGAUGACGAUCACCAUCUCGGUGGCGCGUGGGUGCAUGUGGGGGGCGUUCUGACCGGAGGGGGCGUAGUCGAUUCGGGCCAUGGAGACGCCCAACGUGUUGAGGCCGGGGAGUUGGUUGACGGUUACGGCCGUGACUCUAGAGCCCUGUGGGUUGGUUGUUGUGUUUCCAGCCGUGUUAAGUCCGGAGAAGUAGAAAUCUUGGGAUGUGACCGUUUGGGGGUCUUUGCAUGUCAUGCCGUUGACCAGGACUGAAGCAUCGGGAUCCGCAACGCAGAAAUCUUGGAGGUUGCUCUGGUCGGCCAUGGAAAGAUUUGAAGAGAAGGAAAUAGUCAUUAGAGCAAAGAUGAGAAUGCGAGCUACUACGGAUGAUGAUGAUGCCAUUUGAUGAUGAUGGAAGUUUGAUGAGAUGAGAUUAUGUGAAUAAUUAGGAUGAGGGGUGGGAUAAUGGAGGGUGGAUUGCUUUCUUAUUUAUACCGUAAGAGAUUGAGUUAGGGCUGACAAUUUGAUUACGGUUAACGGUUAAAAUCCCUUAACUUUUUAUUUUUUUAUUGGUUAACUGAAAUUGAUCUAUUCUGGUCAGGUAAUUAACUUAUUAUCACCUUAUUAGUCGGUCAAUCAAUUAAUUUUGUUAUAUGAAGUCAUAAUCAACGGAUAUGUGGUCGAUUAUUAAUCACCCUGGCCGAAUGCUCCCGUUCAACCUUGAUUGAGGAUAGCAUGAUUUGGUUAAGACUAAGGACACCAUGACAUGGCCGUCCUUGUAAAUAUCGAGGUUUGGCAUAUGGAUCCAACAGGCGAGACCAAGUUUCAAAGUGUCAUGGCAGUCCCUUCUCGAUCGUUUCCUUUGGAUGUGGCGAAGGGAUUAAUAGAUUCAGAUUAUAGGGCUGGAAGUUUGGGUAUCGAGUAUAGGUAAUUCGGAUUCCACUCCGAAUCAGAAUGGUUUCGGGGAUUGGCUGCAUCAUUAUCAUAUCCUGCUACCCGACGGGUACUCACUAGGUAUCCAAACUACUCGUUACUAAUAUCACGUAAAUUUAUUUCUUAAUAGGUUAAUAUAUAUUUACAUUUUUAUACUAUGCCAAAUAUACGAAGAAACUCCUCCACUAAUUUUCAACAUAUAUAUUUAAGCCUUUUUACUUUGACGAUUUUAUCAAACAAAUCACUUCGGUUAGUUUUUCUUUCAUAAUCAAUUAACAUCCAUGACCUAUCCAAGGCCAAGGGACAAAGAUCAAUUCCUAAAACCUAAUCCUCUCAUCUACCAAUUUUCAUCUCUGAUCUCUCGACUUUCACUCUCUUUAGUAUCGUAGUUGAUUUGUUGUUUGCUCGGGUAUUACGAAUAUCCUUGCCCGAACCCGCAAUUAUGCAUAGUUGAAGUGAUAAACAGCAAUAUAAUAGUUCAAUUCUGAAAGUGAUGACGGGUGAUCAAAUGACAAUCAAUCUCAAUAUACUUCAUGCGCUCACGAUGGAUCAAUCAGCAUCUGAGUAGGUUCGCAAGUCUGAGCAAACAUAAGGUAGCUAGGUUUUGGGUUGGACCCGAUGAAAACGGUUUUGUAAAGCAUGCAAUAGUGAUGGGCUUUUAAUUUCCAGCUCGUGGGUAAAUCAGGUUUCAAUUCAUUUUCAUUCAUUCCACGUGGUUUAAUAAAACCUCAAAAUUUGUGAUUGAUGAUGAAUGACCAUCAAGUAGUUGGUCAACUCACUAUCCAGAACAGAACCAGACUCUCAAAUUGUUAUAAACCGUUACAUCUAAAAAACUCAAAUUGUUUGAACUCGUAAAUAUCGUAAUCGCCUAGAUCAUCUUCAUGAAUCAUGCAGUGUUGUGAAUAAUAUUCCUGGAGAAGACGAUGGAAUCGAGUCUCCCACACCUAACUAGACAUCCUUGUUAAUUAUAUGGAUGUUCGAUGAGCUGCCGCUUAUCUGCACCAAGAAUCUACAUAAAAUUCAAACAGAAACAAAAUGAUAUGAUCAUUACUUUGUAAAACCAGACUAAACUCUACAAUCUCUGGAACUUCCUAUACUGUAGUUAUAUAUUCUUCAAACCUAACAUGCUGAUGUUAUAAACUAAUCUGGAACUUUGUAUACUGUAGUUAUAUAUUCUAAUGAACGGUUGAGAUUUGGGACGAAGGUAUGAUGGUCAGUAUUGAUUUCAACAGACGGUUGAGAUUUACGCUGAAGAUAUAACCGGUCGAUAAAUGUAAAUGGGUGUUCAUGUUUGUAUGUAAGCAAAUUUUUUAUACAUAAAUAGUAUUUUUUCCUAACUUUUUUAUUUUAUUAAUAUCUUUUACAUAUGAACUCAGAUUUAAUUAAUAUUGUUUACAAUCAAAAAAAUUACAAAAAUGUUUAUUUUAAUUUCAUUUGACUAUUAUUCANNNNNNNNNNNNNNNNNNNNNNNNNNNNNNNNNNNNNNNNNNNNNNNNNNNNNNNNNNNNNNNNNNNNNNNNNNNNNNNNNNNNNNNNNNNNNNNNNNNNNNNNNNNNNNNNNNNNNNNNNNNNNNNNNNNNNNNNNNNNNNNNNNNNNNNNNNNNNNNNNNNNNNNNNNNNNNNNNNNNNNNNNNNNNNAGGCCGCAGUCGGUGAUCGUUCUCGGCAUUCCUGCUGAACCGCUCUUCCGAUCUUAACAUGGUGAAAUUUCAAUUUUUAGUCAUUUUCAACAUGCAUGUAAAAUAUUAGCCAAUUUAAAUAUUUUUAAUUUUCAUGUCAAAAUUGGUCAAUUUUCGUGUGUUAUACUAUAUAAAUUUGACCAUUUUUGCAAGAAAAUUUCAAAAAUUUCAAAUAGACUAAUAUUUGACAUGCAUGUUGGAAAUGACAAAAAAAUUAAGUUUCACUAUGAUAAUUCCUAUAAAUAAUGACCAAUGAGGUUAAAAAUCAAUUUUACUUGAUAGUAUGUUAGUGUUGAAAAAUUUCAAAUUGGCUUACAUGAAUUGCAUUUUGUUAACUUCUACCAUACAUAAUUUUAUGAGAACCAAAUCGUUUUACCAUACAUUUGAACACGUACAAACAAUAAUAAAACAUACGAAUCGAUACGUUCAAUCAACUCUAUAAUGGAACGCGAUCAAGCAACCUAGUUAUUCAUUAAAAAUAGUAGGAUUGUCAAAGAUUAAAAAAAAUCUCAACAUUGCUUCUCCUUUUCAAAGAAAAAUAACGUUAUAUCAAAAUAGGGGGUGGGAGAGUCCAAUAUUAAUUGCUCCUCCUUUUCCUUUCGUCAUUGCUUAUCGAAUGCCUUGGGGUCGUAUUGCUCGUUAAAGACUUGCGAUCCAUAUAGUUCUGGUUAUGAGAUCUACACCUCCCAUCAGACAUUAUGUUCGUUAUUUUAAACGACUUUUGACUACCGAUUAAUAAGAAUCGCCCGUGAGUAUUUUUUUAAAAAAACACUCUAUCAAGUCGCUAGUCAUUCAUUACACGGUACUUCCAUAAUCAUAUAAGUAUCAUCGUACCCAUUUGGAUUUAAGUGGCAGAGGGCCACCAAGCCUAAUUAUUCCUCAAAAAACUGAUAUAAAAUGUGUGGAUCAAAACACGAGUCCCAUUAAGAACAAACUAAGUAAGUCAAAGAUGCUUGCUUUGUUCAUCUUCCUAGCUUCAAUCCUCCUCUCUGCAACUUCAUCAACUCCAUCUCAACCAAUCCCAAGUAGUCCUCAUUCCGACAAGCUCCCCGCUUUACUCCUCCGUCCUGAACUCUUCGAUUCGAAACCUUAGGUUCGCCAACGCCUCUGAAUUCUCGAAACCGACAUUCAUAGUCGUUCCGUACGAGGAAUCCCACGUCCAGGCGGCGGUGAUUUGCACCAAGAAUUCCGGUUUGCAAGUCCGGACGAGGAGCGGAGGCCAUGACCAUGAGGGCUUAUCUUACACCUCCCGUGCGGAGUUUGUGCUUAUUGAUCUUUCUCACUUCAGGGCCAUCGAAAUCGACAUGAAUAACAAGACUGCUUGGAUGGAGACAGGCGCCCUGCUAGGCGAAUUAUACUACGAAAAAGCCAAGAAGAGCGAUGUUCAUGGCUUCCCAGGUGUGGGUGGAGAUUCGGUUACGGUUGAAAGUCAAUACUGAUUAAUUAACCCACCGACUUCGGUUGGUCAAAUGGUUACGGAACUUUUUUGACCGAUUCUUACAUAUUUAUACCUUUUUAACCGGUAGGUCGGUUAAAAGUUCAAAUUGGUUAACCCAACGACUUUGGUCGAUUAAUCAAUUCAGGAUUUGAGAUUUUUUUAACCUAUUUUAAUCGAUAGGUCAGUUAAAAGUUAAGACUGAUCAAUCCACUAUUUUCUUUUAUCCCACUCUUACAUAUUUAUACCUAUUUGAACUAAUAUAAUUCAGUCGGUUAAUUCGCACCGAUCAUCACCAUGUCAUCCAGUUAAUUGUUAACCUAUUUUGGUAUAGAAUCCUAAUUAAUCACAUGGUUGUGAUCGGUUAUUAACCAUCCCGACUGACUACCACCUCUAUUCUCAGGUGGAAGCUGUCCGACCGUUGGAGUAGGAGGGCACAUCAGCGGAGGCGGAUUCGGUUUAAUUAUGAGGAAAUACGGUCUAGCAGCGGAUACAGUCGUGGAUGCCAAGAUAGUCGAUGUAAAUGAAAAAAUUCUGGACCGGAAUUCGAUGGGAGAAGAUUUGUUCUGGGCGAUCAGAAGCAGCCGCGGAGCUAGCUUCGGAGUCAUCCCGUCCUGGAAAGUUCGGUUAGUUUCGGUUCCAGAAACCGUAACCAUUUUCACCCUGACCAGGACCCUGGAGCAAAACUGUAGCAAGCUGUUACAGAAAUGGCAAAACCUGAGUCACAAUCUCCAUCAAUAAAUUUUCCUCCACACAGUUAUUAGAGUCGGAAAAAACAGAGCAAUUCAGUUGUCAUUUACAGGGCUUUAUUUCGGAAGAAUGAAUCAAUUCCUCACUCUGAUGGACAAAAGCUUCCCGGAGUUAGGGCUAGUGGCCGAGACCUGUCAGGAAGUCACCUGGAUUCAAUCCGUAAUGUACUUCGCCAAUUUCGGAGUAAACGAAUCAACGAACCGACUGAUUAACCGAACUUCCAGAUCGAAAGAUUUCUUCAAGGCGAAAUCCGAUUACGUGAAGGAACCGAUUUCAGAUUCUGGGCUCAAGGGGCUUUACGAACGGGUCCUGAAACAGGACGUGUCGUUUCUGAUCCUGACACCUUAUGGCGGCAGGAUGAGCGGGAUACCCGAGUCGGAAACUCCGUUCCCUCACAGGAAAGGUUCCUUGUAUAAGAUUCAGUAUGUGGCGUCGUGGGACGAGGAGGAAGAAACAGAGGAGAAGAUUGGAUGGAUCAGAGAGCUGUACGGAUAUAUGACCCCGUUUGUUUCGAAAAGUCCUCGAGCUGCUUACGAUGAAUUACCGAGAUCUCGAUUUGGGCCGGGACUGGGGGGUGAAAUACUUCGAGGGUAACUUCGAUAGAGUUGUGAAAGUGAAGACCAAAGUGGAUCCUGAGAAUUUCUUCAACAAUGAACAGAGCAUUCCUGUUCUAUCUUAGAUACUUCUGCAGAAAUAUUAUGAAACUAAAUAAUACACCAUCUGCAUUAUACUGAUAGGAAGUAAGGUAGAACUGCUGAUGUUUUGAACAUACAGAAAUGAUACAUUGCGUAUGAAGAUUGAUCUCUCUUAGUACUGCAUUCACUUUGAAUGUCCAGUUUGUUCUUACAAUACCUUCUGGAUUUGGGGGUUCAGAAAAGUCUGUUCUCGUUGGUUUGAACACCACAAGUGACUGGUGCUUUUGCUCUGAUCUUGUUGAAAUACCAAAUUCCGGCACCAACUCCGAUCGCCCCUGCUGCCGAUACUGCCCCUACGCUCCCUGCAAAUCCAGCAAUGGAAUGAAUUACUCGUUAGACACCAAUAAAAUGAUAAAAGCUUAAAAUCCCAAGAUCUAACAUUGCACAUCAUAUAUGUAAUGUACAUUAGUUUACCUGCAAUUACUCCUGCCCUGCUAUGUCUAUGACCUCCAUCGCCAUGACCUGCAAAAAAUGAAAGAAGUGCACAUCAGCAAGUAUAUAUAAUCUCCUAAUCGCUAACAAAAUCAAAUAAUUCAUCAAUGAAAAAAAGCAAGACAUUCGUUCACCUUGGUCACAAGAUGCAGUGAAAUUCCCCUGAGGACAAAGGCAGAGGAAUUCCUGUGACUCUGUAUCAAACCCACAAGUCCCACCUCCACCGUUACUCAUAUCCUGACACCUUAGACAAGGCGAGGUAACCGGCGUAUCGAAAUCUACUCGUAUCCCAUACUCGGGAAUCUCCCCGUAAUAAGUCGAAACCGAACCAGAACCAGCACCAGCAUUGUUGUUCCUCCAGUAAACGCUGGUGUAAGUAGCACAAUACUUCAACAUCAAUCUAAGCGAUUCGGUCGCUUUGGGAAAAUAUGAACAGCACGAAGCAGAAGUAGCAGAAGAAGGGCAUUGGGGCAAGUGCCGGCAGAGGUAGCUAGCGGUGUCGCAAGUGGAGUCGCAGCGAUCCGGGAACCGGUCACAGAAAACCGGUUUGGGCUCCAUGAUCACCAUCUCCUUGCUGCAAUUGAAGAAGAGGUAGUCGUUGUGAGGGGAGAGAGUGAGGUGGGUGCUGGCGUCGAGGCUGAAGGGCCUGGUGGGACGGAAGUUUGAGCCGUCCUGACAGGCCCACAUGAAGGGAUCGAUGAGGAUCAGAUGGGGGUCGUCGGAGUAAGUGAUGGAGCGGAUUUGGUAUGUUCCUGACGGUGUUCGGAGGAGGAGGGUGCCGGAGGACGAGCAGACGAGGAGGCGUUUGUAAUAUGGGCUGCCGCAGCCGUCGUCGAUCCCGAAUGGGUAGUUUAUCUGGAUUUGGCCGCAGGAUGAUCUGCAACUAUGCCGGGUGUUGGCUGAAUUUAUACAGAGGGGUGAUGAUGCUGUGAGUAAGAAGAAGAUGAGGAGAAUGGUGGCCGAUGAACUGCUAGUUUCCAUGUCGGUAGUGUGAUGUGAUGUGAAAGAGCUUGAAGUUUGAGAGAAAUCUAUGGUGGAGGUGGGGAUGAAGGAUCGGUGAAGUAAAGUUAUUCUUUGAUGCUCUGUUCUGUUCUGUUCUGUUCAUUCACGUAGCUUUUCCUUUCGGCGCUUUUGCUUUUAUUAUCAUGCUCUGUUUUGCUUUUGGUUGUUAACUAAUGAAGAAGAAUACAGAGGAACAUUGUGCCUUUAUGGACCUGAGUCCGGAAUGCGGGAUUGGGCCUGUAGAGGUGGUCAAGGCCCAUUAGAAUUUCUGAUCUUGUGGACAUUGUCAUUGGGCCUAAGGAUGUUCAAUCAUAAUUAACAUUGUCAAGGCCCAUCAGUUUAGUAUUUCAAUCAUAACUCUCGCCAUUUAAUAAUUCAAUUAUUAUAAAAAUUAGUAAUGUUGGAAAGAUAACUUCUUUUUUUCCCAUGCAUCCACAUGUUAUAGGCAGCUAAGUUUUAACGGAGUACAAAAGUCAUUUAAAGUCGACGGGUUGAAUAUAAAAAAACUGUAUAUUUAGUAUUUUUCUGGUUUAGUCCGAGAGUAGUCUCCGCUCCCCUCUCUCGAUACCAAAUACUAAUCAUAUGUAAUUAAAUUGUAACAAAUUCGCAUUUCAAUUUUGUGGUAUUUGAAGUUCUCCUCCUUCAUUGUUUCAAUUAAGUGUUUUUCUCAAAUGUAAUUCAAUCAUUGCAUAAUCGACCUAUUAAUAAGAAAUAACCAUGGAAUUUUAUCUAAAACCAUCCAAUUUUUUUUUGUUUUUGAAAUUAAGCGGCGCCUAAUUUUAUUAAUGUUGUAUCGGGAGACAUAGUAUUUGAACAUAAUUAUCGAGUCGAGCAAGAAGUGCAUACCUCUUCUUCAAUUGCAGCAAGGAUACAUGAAAAAUCGAACGUCAUACUAACUCAUGGAAUGAAUACAGGCAAGCACGUAUAUUGACUAGUAAGCCUACUGCCCAGUGUCGAGUGGUGUGGGAAUCAAAGUCUUCAGGGGAGUAAAUAGCACUUUUGCAUGCUGAAGACUCGCAGGAAAUUGAGUGAAAAUGGUGUUUGAACCAGAACAUGGGUCAGGUCAGCAUAGACAACUUUCACCUAACAGCAUCGGUUGAACCGUUCCAACUUUGAAUUUUUGGAGCACAACACUUCAACCCCACCGUUUCUGUCGGUGCGUUUCAAGUUUGAUUUUACUGUCCUAAAAGAACCAAGUUGUGGACAAACGCCUUCAAAACCCUACCGAUAUGAAUGAUUUGACAUUGAAAUUACUGAUGGGAUAAAACGGAUCGGUACAAUUUUGAUAGUUGGAUCACGAUUUCAAUAAUUUAAAUUGUAAAAUUGUCAAGAAUCGUUACAUCUUAAUAAUUGGAGUUGUUAAAAGAGGGUUAAUGAUGGAUCUUAUAUCAUUCUCCAACAGAAAUUAUCUUGUGGUCCCUCAAGAAUUUUUUUAUAGGAGAUGAGAUUAGCCAAAUUUUAAGUGAUUUGAGUUGGAAAUGACAGUAUGAAUUUGUUGAGUUUACGAGAAUGGGAUAAAUUAGAGAUGUAUUAGUUAUUUACAAAUUUAGAAUUUUUCUUUUAAUAUCCAAAACUCCACCAAAUAAAUGGUGGAGUUUUGGAAAUCUCUUCUAUUAAAAUCUCUUUCGACCAAAUCACAAAAUCAAAUGAUUUGUUCAGUGUUUCGAUCGAUUGAUGUCAUGUUGAGAGAAGUUUGUCAUUGGGUCUACGGAUGUUCUCAUGGGCUCUCAGAAAGCCCUUCGUGUUGUUGAAGAAGGAAUUUUCAUCCGCUAUCAAAUACCCACUAGAAUGAACUAAUGGAAUCGUUUAUUUCUCUAGGGUCUUUCUAACGCUAUUAUUCAACUUGAUUAUGCUAACUAAACCAAGUAACAGUGAAUGAUUGGUUGUUUUCAUGUUGGUGUAUCAAACUAUCAACUAAUGACUGAAAUAAAACAAAACAAAAUGCAAGAAAUCGAGUUUCAAAGAUUGGAUGAAGGUUGUUCGGACACGAAUCCACAAUAGCUAACAAUGCAUGAAUGAACGAUAUGCAAUCUCAAUUAUUCAGGUUAUAAUGGUUUGGCAAUUUCCUAUGGUAGUCUUAGAUCACUCUCGCACCUCUAAAGAUCUAUUUCACUUAACCGUAGACUCCUCUCUCGAGCUAAUAUACACCUAAACAAAACGCACUAAAGGUGUUCGAUGAAAUAUCACAACGAUAAACGGUGCAGAAAGUGUAAACAAUUCGUUCCUCUCUUGAGCUAACGAAUAAUCUAGGGUUCUUCCUAAGCGGCCUAUCAAUCUAUGUUCCUCUCGGACCCACAAAUCAAUGCCGAUGAUUGAAUCAAGAAGCCAAACAAAAUUGAAUCAGAAUUUAGGUUUUAGGAAGAACGCAUCAUAAGUCUGAAUAACCUCGAUAAUAAAUCAAGGGGUUAAAACCCCAUCAUCCAUACAAAAGCUAAACUAAAACUUCAUCUCAUACAAAAGUUUGACUAAAGUUUCAUCUCAUCCGAACAACACGAAAGGUUUAGCUAGUCAUAGUUCAGGAAUAAGAAGAAGAAGAAAGGAGAAUAACCCGAAAAAAAACAUGUUCCGUCGAGAAAUCUCUGUUCUGUCGCUAAUCUUCGCUCCUUCUCAAAUAGUUGAUGUUCUCUCGGUUCAAUCGAUCUCCCGAACUCUUUCUCUCUCUAAGAACUCGAAAAUAUGUAUGGAAUAAAGUGUAUCUCAUCCAUAGUGGGUCUCGGGGUAUUUAUAGGCUUCUAGGCCAAGUUGGAGAAGGAAAAGCCUCAAAAAACCCUUCUGAAAGAGGGACACACCAUGUUUCUUAAGGACACGGGCGUGUCCCUCCUAACGGAUGCUCUCGGGUUGCUAUCCAGUUAAAAGAACACAAUCAUCUUCUUUUGGAACACGUCGUGUUCCUUAAGUAUACGAAAUUUGACCAUGGCGUCAACAUAAAAGUUGUAGACAAUCGAAUUAUCUUUCCAACGCCGCUGACCUUGCAUACAAGUUGUCAACAUAAAAGUUUAGUUAUGCUCAAAAUACUAAAUAGUGACGUUUUCUUCCCAAGUCGAAUGUUUUGAGUUAUCCCGGCCUCCCCGUCAUGUCUUGGUUCAUCUCUAAAUGUCAUAUGACACCUGAAAUGUACCAAAAACAUACCAAACACCAUAACACGGCCCCGAAGGGCAAGAAAACCAAACAUAUACUUAAAAUCCUAAAUUUGAAUAUAUUUUUACACGCAAAAAUAUAAUUUAUAACGAAAAAAAUAUGUCGAAAAUACCAUACUAUCACCUGUACCUUGACAGCCGUGCAUGGCCUGUCGGAUUAAAAAGGACAAAUUUCGAGGUACUAAAUGAUAAUGAGUGGGUUGCAUGAGGAGAGAUUCCAAACUCACUAAUCCAGUCGAUUACCGCCAAAACUGCAUGCAUGCUUCCAUUCACUUGGCAUUGCAUGAUCAGUGCGCAGCACAUGGAUUAUAGUUAACAUUAAUUUAUCACGUUGUUAAUAAGUUAAUUAUAUCCCAAUUCUAAUUUAAUAUGAAAUACACUAGCUAUGUGAUCAUCAUUUCGCUUUCAAAACUCAAUAAUUUUCAUUUAAAUUCAACAUCCGAGUGAUUGAUCUGAGAAUCAUUGGAUUAUGAUUAUGAUCUUCUUAUUCAGAUUCGAUUCAAGCCCUUAGUUCGUCAUCACAAGUGGAAGAUGGUAAUAAGUUCAGAGAUAUAUAAGACGGUAAGAGAUAAGAAUAUAAGAUUAUAGGAAAGGAAUGAAAAUGAGGAGCGUAUUAAAAAUGUUUCCCCUCUAAUAAUGAUGGUAGGUUUUGUUUAUCGUGACUCUUUUUUAGACGGUUGAUCCUCUUUGGGUGAUCUAUAGUCCUUUAAAUCAGGGCGGUGCUCCUAUAUUUGAGUCAAUAACAAAUGUUCAAGAAGAUGCCACCCCUAAAGUUGCGAGACCCAUUUCCUAGGCGGAAGGCCUCCAUCCUAUGGUUAUGUAUCGAUUUAGGUGACUCGCCAGAGUGUUGGCUUGUUCGGGCAGCUCUUCAGACCGAAAGGAGUAUUUCGGUACGAACCGGAAUAUCCCAUCAGAUUAUAAACAAUCUCUUGACUCAUUCCCAACACAACUUGACAAGCUGGGCAAGAUGGCUUGGUUCUGUUUGGUUAUUAUGUGGGAAAACAUCAGAUUCCAGUAUGCAGACUUUUCCACACAGAUUGGUAAUCGGUAGUAAAUGAUUGUGGGUUUGAAUACACUACAGCCAAAAAAAUAUUUGCCCACCAGCAACUUGCAUAUUAAUGGGAAACGUGAUUUCCAUUUGCAAAGAGUAGAGGAGGACCACUUGGUUAUAUAAGCAAUCUGUCUGGUUAUAUACCACGAUGAGAAGAAGAAGAAGAAAAAGUGAAUGAAUGUGGAUGGUUGAGUAUUGGGAUAAGGUAUUGGAGCACUGCAUAUUCAUCAUUACAUUUUCAACCCUGCAAUUCUUGCUAAGAUCCAUGAUGAACUGAUGAUGAGCAGUCGGCACUUCUUUAUACGUUAAGGGUUCGAAUAAAAAGAAUAAACAUGUCAUCUUAGACUUUCCAUGUUGUUUUAACUAUUAGAGUCAUCGUCAAUCACGGGAGACAAAGCCCAAGUUUAUGACGAACGGAUUUUACCCCGUCAGUCAAAUACCCACUAGAUUGUUUUAAUGGGAUCGUUAAUUUUCUUAAGGUCUUUUUACUUCUAUUACUCAAAUCGAUUAACUACCUAGAUCAAGUAACGGUGUAUGACUGUUUUGGAGGAUGUUUUAAGUAACCAAUUAAUAUCUAGGAAGGCAAAUAAAAGGAAAACAAAUUCAAGAGAUUGAGUUUCAAGUAUGGAAUGAAGGUUGUUCGGAUUCGAAUUCACAAUACCUAGCAAUGCAUGGAUGAACGAUAUGCAAUCUCAAUUAUUCAGGUUAUAAUGGCUUGGCAAUUUUCUAUGGUAGUCUUAGAUCACUCUCGCGCCUAUAAGGAUCUAUUUCGCUUAAUCGUAGACUCCUCUCUCAAGCUAAUCUACACCAAACAAAACGCAAUAAAGGUCUUCGAUGAAAUGCCACAACGAUAAACGGUGCAAAAAGCCUAAAUGAUUUGUUCCUCUCUCGAGCUAACGAAUAAUCUAGAGUUCUUCCUAAACGACCUAUCAAUCUAUGAUCCUCUCGGACCCACAAAUCAAUGCCGAUGAUUCAAUCAAAACGGCCAUACGAAAUUGAAUCAAAAUUUAGGUUUUAGGAAGAACGCAUCAUAAGUCCGAAUAACCUCGAUAACAAAUCAAGGGAUUAAAACCCCACCAUCCAUACAAAAACUUGACUAAAACUUCAUCUCAUCCGAACAACACGAAAUGUUUAGCUAAUCAUGGUUUGGGAAUCAAGAAGGGAUGAAGAAAGGAGAAUAACCCGGAAAGAAAACAUGUUCCGUCGAGAAUUCUCAAUACUGUCGCCGAUCUUCGCUCCUCCAAACGUUGAUGUUCUCUCGCUUCAAUCGAUCUCUGGAACUCUUUCUCUCUCUAAGAACUUGAAAAUAUGUCUGGAAUGAUAGAUAUCUCGUCCAAAUGUCAUGUCGGGCUCUUUAUAUUGUUCCUUCCAAAUCGGAGAAAGAAAAAGACUUGGAAAAACCCCUCUGCGGUGGAACACGCCGUGUUCCUGGCCGUAUUCCGUCCCUGUAAAUUUCUCGGGAAAUUCCAGAGGAAGGGACACGCCGUAUUCUUAGGGGAACAUGUUGUGUUCCUCCCCAACCUCUUCAGAUCUUUGUCCUGAACAGCUCAAAUCGUCCGUUUUCGCUCCUGCUUAUCCUCAAACGCCAUACAUCGCUUGAAAAUGCAUCAAAAACAUCCCAAACAACAUAAUGCGGCCCCGAGGAGCAGGAGAACUAAACAUGUGCUAAAAAUUCUGAGUUUGAAUACAUUUCGACACACAAAAAUAUAAUUUAUAACGAGAAAAGGUGUGUCGAAAAUACAGCACAGCAAAUCACCUCACACUUAAAUGCUUGCUUGUCCUCAAGCAAAUCUACUAAUCGCUCUCUAUAAAGAAGUCAAUAGAUGGUGAUCGGAAAACAAAGCAAAGGUUCUUAAUUCUACCACGGUGUUCAGGAAUGCAAGUCAAUCAACAAACCACACAAUUAGGCAUGAAACACCGAAUCCCUUAAACUAGUAUAAGACAGACUCAUGCAUAUGAUAUAAAUGAUUUGACACCUAACCACCAGAGUGUAUCAAUAUCCCCCAAACACUUAUAUCUUCUAGUUGCCAGCGGAAGUAACAGACCGACGGCUCGUCCUGGCCGGGAUUUCUCUUCCGUCCUGAGGUAGGAGGUGCUUCAAUUUUUAAUAGCACUCAAGUUAUGCUAGCACCUCUCUUAUUUUGCGUUGCUUACUUGACUAUCUAACACUACAGAUACUGAAAACAAAACUUCAGUAUUGAAAUGUUGCUUCUUUUUCUUUCUUUACUUUUCUUUCUUUAUUACUUUUUUAGAUAGCGGCUUUUUCCAAAUGGGAAAAAUAAUCACAACUUCAGCCGGACUCAAAAGUAACCAGUCUCCGAAUCACGCCCCAAGUCUGAUAAAGGUUGGGAAGACGGCGGACCACUAAAGUCGCCCUACAUGUUUCGGUUGCAACCAAACCCCCACGACAUUUUUUAUUUAGCAACCUCAUUCGGGCUCCGCCCGCCUGUUUUAUGCUUCAUAAUAACCUAGGAAAAUUCAUUUGGGGGAUACACAUACACUCUACUGAGACUUAAAACUAAACAGUGGAAGGUAACAAUUCAUUUUUAACAUAUAUAUGAGUCUCUAAUAUACUAAUCUCGGGAACACAAAAGGUGGUUCAAAAAUGACAUCCUCACAUCCAAGACAUCAACAAAUAGAAUGAGAACACUAAGCAUGCUUUCACUAACAUCCACAAACUAAGCUCAAGAGGGAGUUUCAAAAAGUAAGGAAAGCAGUUCAGCAAAAUUACUCACAAGUUAUGUACCCUGCAAUUAAGAAGCACAUUAAUUCAUCCCAUGUUUAAACAAGACAUUGUCCUCAAUGGACCAAACAAACAAGUGAGAUAGGGCCAGAAAAUAUGAUACUAACUUGGAGAUCGCAAUAGUAAACCAAUGGAAGCCUGGACGAGGACCAGGGUGCCAGUCGGACGGCAAAGGGUAUCGAAACAUCAUCGAGAGAAGAAAGGAUUCCUACAGCCACAAAGACAUGAUAGAGAAAAUGAAGAAAGGCUAGAGCCAAUCCGUUACAUCAAUACAGAGUAAACAAAAUAAAACACAAAAUAACAUAAGUUCAACUACGAGACACAAAGAAAACAAAAAAAACACAAAACACAAGGUUUGGAUAUGACAAAAACAUUCGAAAACACAAGGCCGGUCUCCCUACUGGUCAUCCAUGUCGUGCGGCGGAGAUGGUGGAUGAUACUGGAACGGGAUGCUAGACGGGUAGUUCGGGUGAGUGAACGCAUAGAAGCACUGCUGCUCCUAGAAAGUGUACUGUUGAUAGGCGUACAUCUCAGCCAUGGAAGCCUGAAGGGAAUUGACCCGCCUUGAGAAACUGUCGACACGGUUUCUCAAACCGUGGAGCUGCACAUCCUGAGGAGCGGUCUGGCGGCCCUGAGAAGAGCCCCUCAUCAGUAGUAGGUUCCCUUUCCCUGCCAGCGGGGUAGCGAUAUGCGAAGAAGUCCAGAAUCCUAGCCACCUUGAGGAGUGAGUUGGUGAGGCACUGUGGAGAGACCCAAGAAACGGUGGAGAGAGCGCCAAAUGCGGCUGACACCGCAAGUUCUUCACCAAACGGGUAAUGUAAGAACCACCAUAUAGCUUGCUGGUCAUCCCGUAGGAACGUGAACGAUGAGCAACCAGCAACUUGGCGACCAACGGCGCCGGAUGAACUCGCUCCUUGUUGUGGACGCUAUAUAGAAUGAAGAGAUCUCGGGAGGUGCAGACACCGUCGGAGUUCCCCCACUGGGUGAUGGUUGUACGGAGGAAGUGGUGCAGGAGGCGGAGGAGUGGCACUUCAAUCGAUGUUGCUUUCGAAGUGUUGGAUUUGUAGUUGCUGAAUCUCCCACCGUUCAAGCACUUCAAAGGCUCAGAAUGAGCAAUCUCACACCAGAGGUCCUCAUGAGCGAUGCAAAUUGCAUCAGCGUAGACACUCAAAGGUAGAUCGGCAACCAAUUCAUCCACCGUGUAGAACCCAAGGUAAACACCAAACUCGUUCAAAGACCAGGAGUAGCGCACUCCCCCACACUGGAGCUGGAUGGCACCAGCCUCAUAAGGAUAAGUGGUUGUCCUGACCUGAAUAGUGGUGAUGACCUUUUUAGUCGCCCAUUCCUAAGCGUCCUCCUUGAUAUCAAACAAAGGCCUGAGGCUGGCAUCAUCAAUGGCAGAUGAGAACAGCUCUCUAAUGUCAGCCCGUCCAGCUCAAACCAAUCAACCCAUCCCGAAGCAGUGAUAGCCUUCUGUGAAAUCUCCUUCCAAACCUCUUGAUCUGUCUUGUUGGUGAAGUUGAAACACCUUGCCUUAACUGCAUUCGGAAAACCCUGCACCUGAAAUGAGGUGGAUUGAAGCAUACCCCUACCUCGCUUACCAAGAGAGUCCAUCCUGCAACAUAGAAAUAAAAAAGGAGAUAAUCAUCCGCAAUCUGAUCCAUAACAGGACAUGUGAUGCGUGAAUUUUCACCCGCUAUCAAAUACCCACUAGAUUGCUCUAGUGGGAUUGUAAAUCUCCCUAGGGUAUUUCUAGUUCUAUUACUCAAAUUGACUAACUAACUAGACCAAGUAACAGUUUAUGAUUGUUUUUAAGACUGUUUCAAGUAACCAAUUAACAACUAAGAGUGCAAAUUAAAGGAAAAAAAUUUUAAGAGAUUGAGUUUCAAGUAUGGAAUGAAGGUUGCUCAUGGUUUGGGAAUCAAGAAGGGCAGAAGAAAGGAGAAUAACCAGGAAAGAAAACAUGUUCUCUCGAGAAUUCUCAAUCCUAUCGCCGAUCCUAGCUCAUUCUCCAAACGUUGAUGUUCUCUCGCUUCAAUCGAUCUCUGGAACUCUUUCUCUCUCUAAGAACUCGAAAACAUGUCUGAACUGAUAGAUAUCUCGUCCAAAGGGCAGGUCAGGCUAUUUAUAUUGUUCCUUCCAAAUCGGAGAAGGAAAAGGACUUGGAAAAACCCAUCUGGGGUGGAACACGCCGUGUUCCCGGCUAUGUUCCGCCCCUAUAAACUUCUCGGACAAUUCCAGAGGAAGGGACACGUCGUGUCCCUCCCGGCCUCUUCCCAUCUUUGUCUCGAACAGCUCAAAUCUUCAUUCGCUCUGCAUAUCCCCAAACGUCGUACAUUGCCUGAAAAUGCAUAAAAAACAUCCCAAACAAUGUAAGACGGCCUCGAGGGGCUGGAGACUUAAACAUUUGCUAAAAAUCUUGAGUUUGAAUACAUUUUGACACACAAAAAUAUAAUUUAUAACGAGAAAAGCGUGUUGAAAAUACAGCACGUCAAUUUACAAAGAAAAAAUGGAGUUUUGAACCUCACAAUAAAUUAAAGCUAAGUCAUUCUUUUGCCUCGUAAGUCUAAAUAAGUGGUUCGGUUUAAAGAAUCGGUUAAGCACCACAGAGUUUGCUUUUGUGGCUCCUGAUUGCAAGGCACGUGACGAAGAAUAGUAAGAGAGUGUGUGGAAGGGGUAAGACAUAUAUAACUACAAGAAAAUGAAUAUGGACAAUACAAAAAAGGUCUCCAAACCCUAUGAAAUUAAUUGGUCAAAAUGGUCACUGAUAAUCUUUAGUAACCAAAAGACCUUAAAAUUACAUUUUCUUAUAGUAUAUAAAAUUUUGGGAGGCAAAGAAUAGUUAGGAUGCCCAUACAAAUUUUCUUAGUAGAACCUAAAGAUCUUAGGUUUGUAGAGUAAACAACUAAUAACCUAAAUUAAAUGAUAACGAACCCUUAGAAGUUUGAGUCAAUUUGCCACAUGUCAUCAAUUGAUUGGUGACCUAACUUAAAGUGAAUUAUAACCAUCAACAAUAAAGAGUAAGUUAAGAUUAUCCUUAAUGUUUAACCUAAAACUCGACCCUUCUAAGACUUUCAAUCUAGACCUUUUGUUUUGCCGGUCUAAACCUAAGCCGAGCCAAUUACCCAAGCCUAUCAAUUUUUCAAAAUUAACCUUCAAAUAUUUACAACACCCUUUUCUAAAACUCAAUUAAUUCCGUAAGGAGACAUUCUGAUAAUAAACCGUUUUACAAAUAUUUUCUCCAUUUAUAUAUUUCUCGAAUUUCUUUAAUUUUCAUCUUCUUUUUUUACAUGCCUUUUGAGACUUGUAGGGAGUCAACCCAAAGGAAUGAAGUCUGAGUUGGUCAACAUAAUUUAAUUCUUUUUUCGGAAAGUCAGUUGGUCAACAUAGAAUUAGAGAAGAAAAAGGUGGUAAGCGGGAAAUUAAAUAAAUAAAUAAAUAAUAAUAAUGGCAGCUGCAGUUAAGCGGAUGAUUCGGCGUUAAUUCCUAUUAGCUUUGACCCAAUUAUUACGGUUUACCAUUCAUUCCCUUUGUACUUGUUUUUAGUAACAAAAUUAACCGCUUUCUGUCUUUAUUAACGAAGAAAAGAUCAAANNNNNNNNNNNNNNNNNNNNNNNNNNNNNNNNNNNNNNNNNNNNNNNNNNNNNNNNNNNNNNNNNNNUAACGUCCACAUUUUGGCCCGACACUGUAAAUUUAAUAAUUAAUUCACCCGGCAAAGUAAUUACACAAUCUUGGUGAAUAGAUUCCGUCUCUCUUUUAACUGGUUAUUUAAUAUUAUGUUUUAUCAAAACUGUAGUUGAAAAUUAGAAUUUGAAUUCGAGACUUUUAGAUAUUCGUUGCUAAUACUAAUUAAAAGUUUUACCAACCGAAUUAGGAAAUUUUGAUACCAAUAGCCCCAGUCAUAUCGAAAUUUGGUUUUAUUAGUAAAAUGUAAGAUACAUCGUUUCUAUUUCUCAUUUUCGGUCAAUCUAUAUUCAAAAAGAUACGUAAACACAUCACGAGGGACUAGAUUUUAACCCCAAUUAGUUUUUAUUCACGCCUGAUUUUAACCCCAAAAUAUAGCUUCAUUUCUAGUUCUUCGAAGGUACCAGCAAGGCAGCACAGCUUCGAAUUUGGGUCGGGGACGAGUCGGCCGAUUAGUGAUUACCCUUCAAUUUCGCCAAACCCGGUCGAGCGAGACCUUAAAACCAGUAAAUGGUUCGGUUCUAACAAGAUAUGAAAUUAUCAUGAUAGCUAAUUUAAUGGCCCAUCUUGCUUGGACGUUGGGUCUUGUUAGACUCGUCUCCUACACCUUCAUAUACACCAUCCUACGCUUCAUUUCCUUAGGCUUUAAGAACUAGCAACAUAGGCACUGCAGAAGGGAAUUUAUAUACUUUUUUGGUAAGAAAACGGGGGAAAAUCUAAGAAAUACAAGUGACAACGAUUACAUCGAACCGUAACUAAUGUCCUAAGUUGACCAAAUGAUUCGCGACAAAAUUUGUCUAGCGGUUUCCAACUCCUAAACUUAAAAUUAAAAAUAACAAACUUAAGAUAACUUAAAAUUAAAUAACUUUGAGUUAGUAAUCUGUUAUAGUGAUCGUAGCCACCAUAGCUAAAAUUUGUCAACAUUUACAUACAGAUAAGUAUACAAAAAUAAUUACGUCAUGUUGACGCUGUGUCCAUGGCGGGCAUGUGGGAAGCUAAAGGCAAAAGUCACUUGAGAAGUGUACACUUGAUCUUUUGGUAGGUGAAAGUAACUUUGUUUUGUUUAAUAANNNNNNNNNNNNNNNUAUAUAUAUAUGCGGAAUCAGGUAGAGUAAGGUGAGUUUUGUCUAAUUCCGCACCUAUAUGGUUCAAUUUUUCAAUUCGAUUGAAUAUUAUGUUAGUUUUGGUUAGUAUUUAGUAUAAUAUUGACGGAUAAGUUAAUAAAAUGGGUUGAUCAAUUGAUUUCACAUUUUAAAAUUUGAUAAAGAAAAAUCACUUUAAAUCUGGCUCAAUAGGUCUUUCAAUAAUGAUUUCGCCUUGUAUAUAUCCGAAAAGUUAAUAUUUGUGUGUGUCGACAUGGUUAGUUUGUAUUUUUGAUGUGGUCCUGGUUGAAAUACGUAGAAUUGAAAUGUGUUAGGGUUUAAUUAAUGAUUCUGCUUUCACAAUUGCAUGAUAUGAAAAUGGAGAAUGAGAAAUUAGAAAAGAUAUCACCAACUUGUGCAAAUGAAGAUUAAUUGUAUUUAUGUAAUUAGGUCGACACUCUGCAGGCCAACCGAUCUCGGAUUUGAAUUUGAUGACAGGUGCCAUGGGCCCUGCCAUCAAGUCCAUUCACAGAGCAUUAAAAUGCAGAUAGAUUAAGAUCAUUUUCAUCCUAAAAUUUAUUUAGCAAAUUUUAAUAUGAACUGUAUAUUUCGCAUAAGUAAGUUAAUUAGAAAUUUCAUACCGAGAAUUACCGUGACAAGAAAAUUACCGUGACAAAUUAAAAAAACACGAACCACCAAAAAUCAACAAAAGUGACCUCCUAGAUAUUGUGAUGUACACAUUAGUAACGGCACAAAAUCUGGUGUCACCUAACAUUUCUUGAACCAAAAUGUCAAACAUCAACACUAGAAAACACCACAUCAAGGUGACGUCAUAAUUGACUCCACUGGUAAAAUGUCUUAAAAUACCUCGGUAAAUUAAUAAUUCAUAAAAUCUUGUGGUUUAAUAACUUCAUUUUCCGAAAACAGUUUUAGCUACGCACCCAAAUAAGAUACUUGGUAGGCGUGUACAAGGUAGAGAUGUCACGUGUCGAUCUCCGAUAAAUAAUCCUUAUAUAAACGUUCUCUAAAUUAGACAGAUCAAUUGUGAAAAUGCACAACUAAAAUUCCUAAGCUUGCCUAUAUUUGAUACGUUUAUAAGGUAUAACGCAUCGACGAUUAAUCUUUGAAGGUAUAACUUUAUAUAAACCGAGUUAAAACCCGCUAAAUUAGGCUAUAACACCGUUUGCAUAUAUUUAACUACUCUUUACCGAUUGCAUAUAUUUAACUACUCUUUGGCUAUUAAAAAUAUUCAACUUGCUUAUAAAAAGAACUAUUAUAAAUCCCAUUAAUUCCUCUAGAAUCAAUUUUUUCCAAUCCCAUAUGAACAAAAGAUAUCAUUUGUACAAUUUUUAGUACAAUGUUGACCUUAGAUGUGUUAAAGCACAACCAAAGCAAACGUGAAUUUUGAACUAGAAAAUCAUAUAUUGUAAACUUUUUAGGUGGAUAUUGUAAACUUUCGUCAAAGUAGCUACCCAAUUCGUCACUCGAUUAUUCUUCUUAAGAGCGAAAACAAACUUGACCUAAAAGGUGACAAAACAAUUUCGAACUAAAACACAAAAUCCGUCGAUUGUUGAGGAUAUUAACGAUAGUUAUGCUAAUCCGACCACAUCGUUUUGGUUUUCCUGGCCACUUUUCUUGUUCUGUUCGGAACUUUUGGUUCCAUGUAUGUAGGGGGAAAAGUCGUCGCCGACCAAUUUCGAAAGUGGAAGGUGCUAGCCAGUAGCCAUGCAAGUUGGUUAAAUUGUAUUCGUCUUUGGCUGCUGUAUUUUUUUAUUUUAGAUAUUUAAUUGAUUCACAAUCCAAACGGAUCCCAAUAAUAACUACCACCCACUCGUUUGUCUUCUGUUCUUUUCCUCUUUCGUCCUCCACGGCCCUCUUAACUCGUAGGCAAAGUAUGUUUGGUAACCUCACCAAAAUACCAAAAAUGGUCGCGAAAUUCGGUGUCUAGUUAAGUCAAAUUCGAAUUUUGAAUCCCACUUAAACUAAAUACAAGUUCGAACAAGACAACUACUUAACGAUUAAAUAUGGGGAUAACAUUAUCAAAUUAGUGUUUAGUGAAGUAUACAUUCCUUCUUUUUACAUUCGAUUUCUCAUGUCAACAUUAACACUUCCAUCAAAUAACAGUUCUUGGGUACGAUUCGAAGUUAACGUGUAAACCAUCUAACCAAAUCUUGGAUGAACCUAGCUUGAUAAUUUCACAAUGGAAGCGACUCGCAACCCGAGCCGGUUCCGAGUAUGAAUCAAGCUUUCAAACCCUUAACCAAUAGUUAGGCUGCUUACGGAUUUCUCUAUAGGAAAUGGUGAGGAAACGUCAGCGUUUAUGUUCGUCCACUUUUGUCUACAACUUUUUUACAGCAAUAAUGAUGAAUAAUUCUGUCUACAUUUAUUUAACACGAGUGAUGUCGAGUUGGUGGUUAUAAAUUCUAGUUUAAAUAUGGGCAUUUGCUUGUUUUGUCGGUAAAUUAAUUCAUGUUAUGUGCUUUGACGUAUAAGGAAAACUCUAACACGGACCAAGAUCCGAUCCGAAAAAAUUAUACUUGUUGUUUAAAUUCGUUGGAUUGUUUCACAUCGGAUAAUGUAAUGGGUUCGAUGGGCUAGCUAGUAUUUGGGGUAUGUAUUUAAAACGGAGAAAAGGAGAUAUAUAAUUUUAAAUAUAUCUGUAACGAUGAUAGAAGUCUCAACUUUGAAAACGAAAACUAUAAUUUCUUAUUUCGUGCACUGGAUGUCACUUAUGUAUAAUAUUUGAUACACACUACUUGUUCGAUGAUGCUAUUACUUUUAGCAUCCAAUGUCAUUGAUCUUNNNNNNNNNNNNNNNNNNNNNNNNNNNNNNNNNNNNNNNNNNNNNNNNNNNNNNNNNNNNNNNNNNNNNNNNNNNNNNNNNNNNNNNNNNNNNNNNNNNNNNGCUAGAUGGACAAAAAAAGUUAUAACAGUGAUUAGUGUAAGAUAAAUUUUAAAAUAAAUACGGUAUAAUUAGAUUUAAAUUCGAUGCCACUGAGUUGUCAGUAUACAAUUUUACCAAUAGGCAACUCCAUUCGGACAACUCUUUGGAUAUCUCGCUACCAAAACUUUAAACACUAAUUACUUAAAUAUAACAUUACAUCUCAAAAAAUUGUAUAUCCAUGAUUUAAAGUAACCAAUCAACAUGUUUGCUCUCGAUUAUAAGACAAUGUGUACCUUAUAAAUUCUACUAGAUUAACAUUGUCAANNNNNNNNNNNNNNNNNNNNNNNNNNNNNNNNNNNNNNNNNNNNNNNGACAAUUAGUAACAUUAAUACCAUUAUUUUGGUAAGAGUAGCAUUAAACCAAGUGAAUGUUGAUUUGAUUGAUCUGCAACUUGGUUAAUUCGGGAUUCAACUAAUACUUAGUUUGAUUAAUUUUCUUGUGUUUAAGAUCACAUGCAACGGGACACCCAAUUGUUGUUUGUAAUGAUAUGUGGUUCAACCAUUUAAAUCGUAUGAUAUUGUAUGUAGUUGAAAUUGGCAGCAAUUAUAUAAAAAUCAUACUAGACCACCUUUAUGAAUAAUUCAAAAUCCAACUAUAUAUAACCUUAUAAUUAUGAAAAUACUCGCGACCUAAUGAACUUGCAACUCCAUUCUCCAUAUACUCCAUAACCACAUUAACAUAGCAACAUAGCUCAUGACCCGCACAACCAUUUAAACCUUGAUUAAACCACAAUUGCAUCAAAACUAUACCCAACCGCAAUUUGGUAAUUGGUUCGAAACCCAACCGAUUUUGUAACGAUACCGUUUUGAAAAUCUUGAUUAAUUUAUGAUCUUACAGAUUUGUAUCUCGAUCAUCUCCAUACGUUAAUUAUUUUUUAAUCACUCAUCUCCAUAACCUAUUUAUUUUUUUGUACUUUCCCAUAUUUUCUUGCAGACUAUUCGUUGCGAUAAUAGUGGCGCCAUUCAUCACAUAGAUCUUUGUCUUCUUAGCAAUAUAUUUUCUAAUCCAGAUGCAUAUGGUCCGACGGUUAGCAAAUGGGGCUGCCCAUUAUGUGACGCGGCAUGUCCUUUCAUAUCUUUCAAGUUGUGUUGAUAUUGAUUUCACAAUCUGAGUCGAUCUUUAAUUUUUUUUUUUCUAUAUUAUUUCUUCUCAUCGAGAGCUAUUUAGGAAGACGUAAUAAAAAUAAUGUAAUGAUCGACCUCAAUAAUGAGGGAACUAAUAAUGGUGGAUAUAGAGUCACAGAGACUGACGUUGUGAUUAGCUCAAUCACAAGCUCAUCAAUCUCUAUAAGUACAAACCCAACAUUUCAUUCAACAUUCACUCACCACAACCAAAAUAUCAAAACAAUGGCUUCUCCUUCGUCUUCUUCAUCUUCAUUCCUUCCCCUGUUUCUCCUCUGCCUCUUCUGCCUCUCCCCCGCCGUAACAUUCUCCCGCAAAGUAUCAUUCCGAUCAGCCGCCCAACAACACAGCUUCCUCCAAUGCCUCUCCGACCACGCCGACAUCUCAAUCCCAUUCUCCUCUUCCUUCUUCACCCCUGAGAACUCCAACUUCUCCACCGUCCUCUCCUCCUCCGCCCAAAACCUCCGAUACUUACUCCCCUCCGUCCAAAAACCAGUCUUCAUCUUCACCCCUCUCCAAGUCUCCCACAUCCAGUCCGCCG
rnacentral:lncRNA from 1 species